GGCUGGAUAGCUCAGUCGGUAGAGCACGAGACUCUUAAUCUCAGGGCUGUGGGUUCAAACCCCACAUUAGGCA